UACAGAGGAUGCAAGCGUUAUCCGGAAUUAUUGGGCGUAAAGAGCUCGUAGGCGGCUUGUCACGUCGAUUGUGAAAGCCCGAGGCUUAACCUCGGGUCUGCAGUCGAUACGGGCUAGCUAGAGUGUGGUAGGGGAGAUCGGAAUUCCUGGUGUAGCGGUGAAAUGCGCAGAUAUCAGGAGGAACACCGGUGGCGAAGGCGGAUCUCUGGGCCAUUACUGACGCUGAGGAGCGAAAGCGUGGGGAGCGAACAGG
rnacentral:rRNA from 1 species